UUUCCGGACAAGACAUUAAAGAAGAGGAAGUGGACAAUGAACUUGUGGCUGUUGUUGGAGCCGCAGAGCCUGAAGAAAUUAAAUCAGGCACAAACGUGACACCAGAACCUCUCCUGGCUCCCUCUGUUUCCGG